UACGAAGGGGGCUAGCGUUGUUCGGAAUUACUGGGCGUAAAGCGCACGUAGGCGGAUACUUAAGUCAGGGGUGAAAUCCCGGGGCUCAACCCCGGAACUGCCUUUGAUACUGAGGAUCUUGAGUUCGGGAGAGGUGAGUGGAACUGCGAGUGUAGAGGUGAAAUUCGUAGAUAUUUCGCAAGAACACCAGUGGCGAAGGCGGCUCACUGGCCCGAUACUGACGCUGAGGCACGAAAGCGUGGGGAGCAAACAGG
rnacentral:rRNA from 1 species